UACGUAGGGUGCAAGCGUUGUCCGGAAUUACUGGGCGUAAAGGGCUCGUAGGCGGUCUGUCGCGUCGGGAGUGAAAACUCAGGGCUUAACCCUGAGCCUGCUUCCGAUACGGGCAGACUAGAGGUAUGCAGGGGAGAACGGAAUUCCUGGUGUAGCGGUGGAAUGCGCAGAGUAUCAGGAGGAACACCGGUGGCGAAGGCGGUUCUCUGGGCAUUACCUGACGCUGAGGAGCGAAAGUGUGGGGAGCGAACAGG
rnacentral:rRNA from 1 species